GGGAAACCUCUGGAGAAAGGCGAGAAGGAGAAGGAAAUUAAAGCAUCAUAUGUUAAAAUAUCAGGCCAAAAAACAAGCUAUGACUGCGCUAUCUACGUAAUGAAGUGGCUUGAGUUAAUUGAGCCGGAAAACAUUAAAAAGGGGAAGUAUGAAUGGGAUAAUUGGCCACAGGAGGAGGUGGACCACUAUAGAGUGGAGUAUGCUUCCCGGAUACUAUUCAGUGAGAUGAAUAAACAGAGAGAUCGGGCAAUUAGAGAGAGUAGUGCUAUAAGGCUGUCGAAGCCAUCCUCUGUAUUAUU